rnacentral:misc_RNA from 1 species
UCUCCGUUGGUGAACCAGCGGAGGGAUCAUUACCGAGUUUACAACUCCCAAACCCAAUGUGAACGCUACCAAACUGCUGCCUCGGCGGGGUCACGCCCCGGGUGCGUCGCAGCCCCGGAACCAGGCGCCCGCCGGAGGAACCAACCAAACUCUUUCUGUAGUCCCCUCGCGGACGUUAUUUCUUACAGCUCUGAGCAAAAAUUCAAAAUGAAUCAAAACUUUCAACAACGGAUCUCUUGGUUCUG